rnacentral:rRNA from 1 species
GACGAACGCUGGCGGCGUGCUUAACACAUGCAAGUCGAGCGGAAAGGCCCUGCUUUUGUGGGGUGCUCGAGUGGCGAACGGGUGAGUAACACGUGAGUAACCUGCCCUUGACUUUGGGAUAACUUCAGGAAACUGGGGCUAAUACCGGAUUGGAGCUCCUGCUGCAUGGUGGGGGUUGGAAAGUUUCGGCGGUUGGGGAUGGACUCGCGGCUUAUCAGCUUGUUGGUGGGGUAGUGGCUUACCAAGGCUUUGACGGGUAGCCGGCCUGAGAGGGUGACCGGCCACAUUGGGACUGAGAUACGGCCCAGACUCCUACGGGAGGCAGCAGUGGGGAAUAUUGCACAAUGGGCGGAAGCCUGAUGCAGCAACGCCGCGUGCGGGAUGACGGCCUUCGGGUUGUAAACCGCUUUCGCCUGUGACGAAGCGUGAGUGACGGUAAUGGGUAGAGAAGCACCGGCUAACUACGUG